GGGGGCGUACAUGGUUUCGACGGGGAUCAUGGAUGCCGGAUAAGCGAGCCGAAGCCCCGUGCUUCGUUAAAAACGGGAAACUUUUUAAAUAUAACUGACAACAACAGCUAUAUGCCCGUAGCGGCCUAACGGCCCUACCGUCCGCCCAUAGUUGCCCACGACUGUGGAUACGGGCGUCAUCAAUGUGGGGAACCAACCGCAGGCUUGCCUCACCUGCGGCGGGACUUUGAGGCUGCCGGAACCGUAAGCCCGUCGGUGGGCGUGCGGCAACGAAAGACUUAAUGCGCCGACUACGCUCGUAGAAAGUCUUGCAGACAGGUUUUCGGACAGGGGUUCAAUUCCCCUCGCCUCCACCA
rnacentral:tmRNA from 1 species